UACAGAGGGUGCAAGCGUUGUUCGGAAUCAUUGGGCGUAAAGCGCACGUAGGCGGUCUGCUAAGUCGGGUGUGAAAGCCCCAGGCUCAACCUGGGAAGUGCACUCGAAACUGGCGGACUUGAAUGUCGGAGAGGGUGGUGGAAUUCCGAGUGUAGAGGUGGAAAUUCGUAGAUAUUCGGAGGAACACCAGUGGCGAAGGCGACCACCUGGACGAACAUUGACGCUGAGGUGCGAAAGCGUGGGGAGCAAACAGG
rnacentral:rRNA from 1 species